AAGAGCCGCGGUAUAUUGACCGUGCAAAGGUAGCAUAAUCAUUAGAGGUUUAAUUGGAAUCUGGUAUGAAAGGUUUGACAAAAGAAAAGCUGUCUUUAUAAUAAAAGUUGAAAUUUACUUUUAAGUGAGAAGGCUUAAAUAAAUCAAAGGGACGAUAAGACCCUAUAAAGCUUUAUAAAUUAUUUAAAUUUGAUUGAUUUAAAAAUAAUAAAAAUGAAGUUUAUGUGUUUUAUUUUGUUGGGGUGAUGUGAGCAUAAUUAUUAUUAACUGCUUUAUGAAAAUACUUUUAUAAAAGAGUUAAACUUAAUAAAGGAUCCUUUUUAGAGAUUAUAAGAUUAAGUUACUUUAGGGAUAACAGCGUUAUUUCUUUUGAGAGUUCAUAUCGAAAAAGAAGAUUGCGACCUCGAUGUUGAAUUAAAAUAUCUAUAUGAUGCAGCCGUUAUAGAAGAAGGUCUGUUCGACCUUUAAAUUUUU
rnacentral:rRNA from 1 species